GAGCCAUACUCAGGGCUUAAGGUAGUUCAGAUCUGAGCCAUAUCUGCAACCUAUACCACAGCUCAAGGCAACAGCGGAUCCCUAACCCACUGAGCAAGGCCAGGGAUUGAAACUGCGUCCUCAUGGAGGAGAAGAAAGCGAGGUGAAGUGGGGGUGGACCUCCAUCCCUUCCAGAGGUCCCCUGGGACACGUCUGAGCAGAUUGGCACGAUCCUAGCUAUAAGCCCAUGACCAAGACAAAAGGAGUGAACGAGUAUUUACUGUAAUAUAGCCUGGCCAAGGGCCUGAUGGGGCUGCCUGGGGCUCUGGCCUCCCAUGGCCCGUCUCUGGGAGGAGGAGGACUCCUGGGGAACCUGGCAGAGACUGACCACUCCCCCUGUGUGUGGGGAAGCAAGACCUACCCAGCUGGAAAAAGCCAGGCUUCUGUACUGAGAUGAUCCACAAAAAAUGGUGGAAAUGGUCCUUCGCGUUGUUUUUCACACCACUGCCCAAGCUGGACCCGUGUGCAGGCAUUGGUGAGUACAGGCUGACAGCCCAGGAACAGCCCUGGGUUCUAGACAAAGCCUGGGAGGAAGCGGGUUGCCUCCACCAGGAGGAUGCGGCCAACACCCACUCCCCUGGGAUGCCCUGAACGGCUCCACAUCACACGUCAUCCAGAUGCAACACCCUCAUUCAUCUCCAAUCCCUGCUUCCCAGCUUGGAAGCUGCUAACCAGUCUCCCAGGCCAGACACAUCCCCCCUCAGCUGGUACUACUCCCAGAUCUUUCCAGACCCCCACCUGGAUGGCAGCUUUGGGGCUCAGCAGCCAGACUUCAUGUCCACGGAGUCUGCAUUUCCUCCAUGAGGCUCCACCUUGGAGUAAUGGGCUUGGGGUCUCCUUCCCAAACGGGGGAGAGGCACAUGUCCAGGCAAACCUGGGGGGAAGGGAGCAAACCGGUUCCCCCUGCCAUGUCAUCUUGUCCCCACUGCCUUGCUCUCCCCUAGGGCCUCUCCCUGUUCACCUCUGCACCUGCCCUCCUCUGGGUGGGGCUGUGUCCCCUCAGGUGGCAUCUCCUUCUAGGGGUGGCUGCAGGGAGGAGAGGCCAGACCCCUUCAGGGUUUCUGUGAAGGAGGCCGUGGCCCUGUGGUGGGUCCUGGAUUCCCAGAGCCGCCAUCUUUGGUCCUGGGCUCCCACCCACGGGCCCUGCUGCAAUGCUGGGCUGGAGAGCACAGGGCUCAAACCCACAGCUUUGGCACAGUUGUCUGGGUUCCCACUCCUAGUCAUGGGUUUUAGGGAAACACUAAAUCCCUGAGCCUUGGUGUCCUCAUCUGUGAAAUGGCGUUAGUAGCACAAGCCACAGUCCCUUUCUAAAACCAUUGGUUCAUACUCCAGAAUUCAGAAAUUUUCAGCCUCACCAGGUGACAUGGUACAUCUCCUCAAUUUAACACGACACCCACUGGUGUCUGAAAAUACCUUGUAGUGAAGCACAGUAAUCUUUCUGCAACUGCACUUUUGUUGUUGUUGUUGUUUAUUAAGUUAUUUUUAUUUUGUUCCCUGAUAGCUGGUUGACAGUGUUCUGUCAGUUUUCUACUGCACAGCAAGGUGACCCAAUUACACAUACAUAUAGGCAUUCUUUUUUCUCACCUUAUCACGCUCCAUCAUAAGUUGCAGCUGUACUUCUGAACAUUCAUACCAAGUGAAAGAAAUAAAG
rnacentral:lncRNA from 1 species